rnacentral:rRNA from 1 species
UGGGGAAUAUUGGGCAAUGGACGCAAGUCUGACCCAGCAACGCCGCGUGAAGGAAGAAGGCUUUCGGGUUGUAAACUUCUUUGACAGGGGAAGAGCAGAAGACGGUACCCUGAAAACAAGCCACGGCUAACUACGUGCCAGCAGCCGCGGUAAUACGUAGGUGGCAAGCGUUGUCCGGAUUUACUGGGUGUAAAGGGCGUGUAGGCGGAGGAGCAAGUCAGAUGUGAAAUCCCGGGGCUUAACCCCGGAACUGCAUUUGAAACUGUUUCCCUUGAGUAUCGGAGAGGCAAGCGGAAUUCCUAGUGUAGCGGUGAAAUGCGUAGAUAUUAGGAGGAACACCAGUGGCGAAGGCGGCUUGCUGGACGACAACUGACGCUGAGGCGCGAAAGCGU